CCGUACGAUCACCGAAGUUAAGCAAAGUUGAGCCCGGUUAGUAUCCAGAUGAGAGACCAUUUGGGAAUACCAGGUGCUGGAA